GACGAACGCUGGCGGCGUGCCUAAUACAUGCAAGUAGAACGCUGAAGGAGGAGCUUGCUUCUCUGGAUGAGUUGCGAACGGGUGAGUAACGCGUAGGUAACCUGCCUGGUAGCGGGGGAUAACUAUUGGAAACGAUAGCUAAUACCGCAUAAUAGUAGAUGUUGAAUGACCUUUGCUUAAAAGGUGCAAUUGCAUCCCUACCAGAUGGACCUGCGCUGUAUUAGCUAGUUGGUGGGGUACCGGCUCACCAAGGCGACGAUACAUAGCCGACCUGAGAGGGUGAUCGGCCACACUGGGACUGAGACACGGCCCAGACUCCUACGGGAGGCAGCAGUAGGGAAUCUUCGGCAAUGGACGGAAGUCUGACCGAGCAACGCCGCGUGAGUGAAGAAGGUUUUCGGAUCGUAAAGCUCUGUUGUAAGAGAAGAACGAGUGUGAGAGUGGAAAGUUCACACUGUGACGGUAUCUUACCAGAAAGGGACGGCUAACUACGUG
rnacentral:rRNA from 1 species